CAAGUUUCUUCAAAAGUUUAUUUUAUUUACAGUAAAAUUAUUAUAUGUGUAAUUCAUAUAAACUUGA
rnacentral:tRNA from 1 species